rnacentral:lncRNA from 1 species
AAAGGUUUAUCUUCUAACAUAUGUUCUAUUCGUUUUAAUUGUGAGUUUAAACAAAUUAAACUUGCAUUACUAAAGUUAUUUUGUUCAAUUAUCUUACUAUUUGUAUCAUUAUCUCGAGCAACUUUAUAUGGUGCACAUAUAAUUUCAUGAUCUUGAUGUUUUAAUCUACUAAUUGUUUUAGGAGGAAAAUCACUUUUUAUUGUUUGUUCAUUUACUAUCCAUUCUGGUCUUUUAUCGCGAAUAGUGAUUGGAUUUAAACUUUUAUCAGAUUGUUUCUCCUUAAUGAGGUUAUACCAAUCAAAAAAUUUAAUUUCAGUUGAGUUAUUUAAUU